AACGAACGCUGGCGGCAUGCCUAACACAUGCAAGUCGAACGAGACCUUCGGGUCUAGUGGCGCACGGGUGCGUAACGCGUGGGAACCUGCCUUUAGGUUCGGAAUAACUCAGAGAAAUUUGAGCUAAUACCGGAUAAUGUCUUCGGACCAAAGAUUUAUCGCCUUUAGAUGGGCCCGCGUUGGAUUAGCUAGUUGGUGGGGUAAAGGCCUACCAAGGCGACGAUCCAUAGCUGGUCUGAGAGGAUGAUCAGCCACACUGGGACUGAGACACGGCCCAGACUCCUACGGGAGGCAGCAGUGGGGAAUAUUGGACAAUGGGCAAAGCCUGACGGAGCAAUACCGCGUGAGGGAGGAAGGCUCUUGGGGUUGUAAACCCUCGUUUUUACUGAAGGAGAAAAAAACUGACGGUACUUCAGGAAUCAGCAUCGGCUAACUCCGUGCCAGCAGCCGCGGUAAU
rnacentral:rRNA from 1 species